rnacentral:rRNA from 1 species
GCGGGUGCUGCAUCAGUCCAGUUGCGUGGAGAGCUCGAGAGAGCGGGCUCUGGCUGCGGCCGCCACGGCGUGCGGCGGAGGCAGAGAAGAGGGGCUGGGAUGGACGUGUAGGGGCGGCAGCUAUACGAGUCGGGGCGGCGACAAGCUAGAGGAUUCGAGCCGGCGCAUAGACGAGUCGGGGCGGCGGCAGCCCGCAGUGGUGUGGACGUCGGUGGUAGCUGCGACCUGGUGCCGCUCCGCAGCUACGGGAGGUACCGCCCUCGACCCUACUCCCGCAGGUACUGCCCGUCCUGGGGCAGGAGGGGGUCAGAGGGUGGAGGAGGGAAGUCGCCGGGCUGGGUUAUGCUACCGUAGUGAGGUAGUAGGGGUACCGGCGGCGGAAGGAGCCGGCCCCUGUUGAAGCAGGGGCCCCGGCGGACUCGGCGACGACGCUCGGUCUCGCACUCUAAAGUUCAUACAACGGUCGGUACCUCCUCGGGGAACAACCCCCGUUGUCGUCGUGACUCCUCUGUCCUCCCCGUUUUCUCUCGAACCACCACUGGCUCCAAUUCUUCGUCGACAUGGAGCGGCCCGGGGAGCAGCAGCCUACGGACAACGUCUCGCAGCACGUCUACUAUAGCCAGUACAAACAGCCGGUAGAGCCACUCGAGCGAGAGAGCUCACGGAGGUAGCGGUGGAGGAAACGGCCACAGUGGCCGAAGUCGAACAACAGACCGUACCGCUCGUCGAACCUGUGUGACACACCCGUUCGGAAGCCCCGUUCUGUCAUGGUAGACGAACCGUAGAUGUUCGUCUCCCGUUAGGAACACGAGUGAGACCACUCGCAACACCAACGGCACGAGACCCGCAUGUGGCCCGUCUAGGAGGACGAGAAGCCGGUCCUGGGUCUCUAACGGUACCCCCGUCCCUCGAUGUAGGCCACCUACUAAGGUCGUGACAAGCGAAUGCCUGACGACGUCACGGUACAAGCCAAGGAGGUCUGCGUCUUAUAGCAGGAGGGCCACUACCGCUCGCGUCCGCAGUGCCGCGACUCGGUGCACGAACACACGACCAACGACCACAUGUUCGAACCCGACCCGUUGUUCCCGCGACGGGACCGGUUACCGUAGAGUAUGGACCGGUUACACAGUUAGAACCGAUAGAUGUAGUCCCAGAGAGGUAGGACGUCCUCGUGGACCUGUCCGGAGAGUUUCCUCCGCAAAGUGCUGUAGGAAUCGAAGUACUUCGAUCGGCACGGUAGACGCGACUACCAAACGGAUCUCACCACCAGCAAACUCGACGACCAUGAAGAGAGGCCUGAAGAGGGAUUAGGGUUCGACCUCCGUAGCCACAACAGGUAAACGAACUUGUGUAGAAGUAAUCGUAAGUACUAGGGGAAGCCAGAACCCCGUCGGUAUUCGUGGGCACAAAGUUUGCUCGAACCACGACCCGCUGGACUUCGACGGGCAGACCGAUGAGCACACUGGUACCAAGACCCAGAGCACUGUCCACACAGCAAUCCUGAAUAAUACUAGAGCCACGCGUUAGAUACCCCCAUACGCAUGUCGUUGCUCUUCCUCCACCGUCUCAUGUAACGCUCUUACUACGGCGAAGAGAGACACAGCUAGUAAAAACUGCUAGACGUUACGCAAGAAAGUCCAUAACAGUCCCCGACACCGAACGUUUCCCAACCACGAACACAGUUAGAGUCACGUAUGAUGGAACAGCCGUAAGGUCGCCGCGAUACGAAACGGAACAGAUGGUAGAACCGCCGUACCCCGACACCAAGCCUUAUUAGACGCCCUAUCACCAUGUCUACGACGACGACGACCCGUAAUGGUACGCGUGGUUGACCCUAUUUCUCCGAGAGUUCCGUUGCCUGUCUCAAAAGUCAAGCAGAGACGGAGAUCUGUACUGCUGUACUUGUACCUUGUACUACGUAUUAACGAGAACCGGUCCUGGUCCUACGACCAACCCGUUUCCUCUAUUCCUUGAGCAAUUCUUAAAUCUCAAUUUCUUAAAUCUUAACCAGUUCCGAAGCAGAGGUACAGUGGUUGUACCGCGAAGGAGAUACCUUUGUAGUGGGCUGCUUUACUAGACAAAACCACCAAAAACAGCUUCCGUACUCUACCCUACCUACAAAAAUGUCCGUUUACGUACGGUGAGUGAACUAUGCCAUACCCUUAUUUAGUUAUUUCGUUUUUACACCACAAAUGACCUUUCAGGCACUCUAUUUGCGUGGUAAGUAGUAACUUGAGAGCGCCCUACUCGUGUAACCGGUGUGCAGGGUUUUACACAUUUUUACCAGUGAAACCAAACAAAGUACUCGUUUACCCAGUCAGGGGCAAAGGUCGGCAUUACCCGGAUGAACCGAACGACUGAGUCACACCCUGUGUGACAGUCUUAAAACAGCCGAUCCUUUUUAGCAUGUCCUCCCUGAGCAAAAUAAGUUACGCCGGGAAAUCCAAUAACAAAACAAAAAAAAGGCGUUUUUACCGGCAGCCAAGAGGCAGUUUUAGGGGUUAAGUGGGUUUAGGACGGUUUAGGGAUCGAGAAGAAGAGUGAGCCGGUAGAGAGAGUUAGACUGUGACGGCGGUGGAUCGAGCUCUACCUGGUCAAGGUCCCUCUCUCGACUGCCGGUCUCUUGUCUCUACUGGUCUACGCUCCGCUCUGGAGACGUCCACGUGGAACAGGUGGAACAGGACUAAACGGUGGGACGUAGGGUUUUAUAUAACGUUCAGACUUACAUACGGGAGAGACCAGUUACUAGAACGAGAGGGAGAGAAGAGGGUACGAUAAAAAGAGAACAAUAAACACUAGAGACUACAAUGUAAUUAAAGAAAGAUGGCUACCUGUACCAUUAGACGUCCCUCACCCGUAGAUCCUUCUCACGUCACUUUUCUUAUCUACGUGACUACAAUCAUUUUUUUGUCACGUUACCGUCAAGGGUCAAAGAUGCUUUUGUUUCACUUCUCCUUACUGAAUGAAAUGCCAAUACAAAUGCUUUUGUUUCAGGUCAGAACUUAACAUAUCAACUAUCUCAUCAAUUAAAACCUUAAACUAGGACCGAACGAUUAAGUUUAAAUGAAUUAAAAAUUUAAGGUAUUCUUAAUAUUUGACGUAUGCGCCAUGUUACAACAAGUUCUGUCUGAGAAAUGUAGACCUGUCUAGUACAACUACACUGCAUCCGACAUUUAUCGGAAUGUUAGAACUUCGAUCUGUUGUAAAACUAGGAAUAUCGGAAACAAAGGAGUUCACAUAGUUGACUAAGGAACAUAAGAAAGACGAGAUCGUAUAAAUGUACAUAGGAAUUUACAACGAAGAAAAAGGAACUCUACGAUCUGGCGUCACAAAAAAAAGGUGAUGUUACUACAUAUAAAAGACUAAAGUAAACAACAACUACGUCACCUUUCGCCCUAGUUGUCGACUUAUAACAAUACUAUUAUGAAAAGAACGACCACACACGAAAAUAGUCAAUUUUACGUACAAAGAGUUCUCUGUGUUUGACGUUAACUAAGUCUUACUCUCAUCCUUGAAAGCGGAAACGAAGACGGUGUAUGAAAACAUAUAACUGUAAGUUGACAAAACCAGCAAGGGUAAAUCAAAGAUUUAAGGUCAAUUCGGAACACCUUCACAUCGUCUAGUAUUUAAACUCUGUACCUAGGUUGAAAGAAUACCACGUACCUCUUUAUGAAUGGUGCAGUCUAAAGUCUAGACCUGAAAUCUGAAGUCUUCAAGGAAACCGGGUAAGACAGUCCGUACGACUUUUACUGACCAAGUCCCCGUGCAAGUCAAGUUGAACCGACGGUUCGCUCAAGGAGACAAAGGAGCACCGAAGGAAUGACUUAAUUAGGAGGUCACCGCCCGGAUAUGUCGUAACUACUCCAACUAAUAACCAUGUAUGCACUAUUUAUGCGGGAGUGGAGUGGGUGGUAGAAGUCUCGGUCUCGAAAGUUCAAAGUUCAUACAACGGUCGGUACCUCCUCGGGGAACAACCCCCGUCUUCGCUGUGGCUCCUCUGUCCUCCCGGUUUCCUCUCGAACCACCACUGACUCCAAUUCUUCGUCGAGAUGGAGCGGCCCGGGGAGUAGCGGCCUACGGACGACGUCUUGCAGCACGUCUACUAUAGCCAGUACAAACAGCCGGUAGAGCCGCUCGAGCGGGAGAGCUCACGGAGGUAGCGGUGGAGGAAACGCUUACAGUGGCCGAAGUCGAACUACCGACCGUACCGCUCGUCGAACCUGUGUGACACACCAGUUCGGAAGCCCCGUUUUGCCAUGGUAGUCGAGCCGUAGAUGUUCGUCUCCCGCUAGGAGCACGAGUGAGACCACUCACAACACCAACGCCACGAGACCCGCAUGUGGCCCGUCUAGGAGGACGAGAAGCCGGUCCUGGGUCUCUAACGGUACCCCCGUCCCUCGAUGUAGGCCACCUACUAAGGCCGUGACAAGCGAAUGCCUGACGACGUCACGGUGCAGGCUAAGGAGGUCUGUGUUUCGUAGCAUGAGGGCCACUACCGCUCGCGUCCGCACUGCCGCGACUCGGUGCACGAACACACGACCAACGACCACAUGUUCGAACCCGACCCGUUGUUCCCGCGACGGGACCGGUUACGACAGAGCAUGGACCGGUUACACAGUUAGAACCGAGAGAUGUAGUCCCAGAGAGGUAGGACGUUCUCGUGGACCUGUCCCGAGAGUUUCCUCCGCAAAGUGCUGUAGCAGUCGAAGUACUUCGAACGGGACGGUAGACGUGACUACCAAACGAAUCUCACCACCAGCAAACUCGACGACCAUGAAGAGAGGCCUGAAGAGCGUUUAGGAUUCGAGCUCCGUAGCCACAACAGGUAAACGAAUUUGUGCCGAAGUAAUUGUAAGUACUAGGGGAAGCCCGAACCCCGUCGGUAUUCGUGGGCACAAAGUUUGCUCGAACCACGACCCGCUGGACUUCGACGGGCAGACCGAUGAGCACACUGGUACCAAGACCCAGAGUACUGUCCACACUGCAAUCCUGAAUAAUACUAGAGCCACGCGUUAGAUACCCCCAUACGUAUGUCGUUACUCUUCCUCCACCACCUCAUGUAACGUUCUUACUACGGCGAAGAAAGGCACAGCUAGUAAAAGCUGCUAUACGUUACACAAGAAAGUCCACAGCAAUCCCCGACACCGGACGUUUCCUAACCUCGAACACAGUUAGAGUCACGUAUGAUGGAACAGCCGUAGGGUCGCCGCGAUACGAAACGGAAACAGAAGGUAGAACCGCCUUACCCCGACACCAAACCUUAUUAGACGCCUAAUUAGCACGUCUACGACGACGACGACCGGUAGUGGUACGCCUGGUUGACCCUGUUUCUCCGAGAGUUCCGUUUCCUGUCUCAAAAGUUAAGCAGCGAUGGAGAUCUGUACUGUAGUACUUGUACCUUGUUCUACGUGUUAACGAGAACCGGUCCUGGUCCCGCGACUGACCCGUUUCCUCCGUUCCUUGAGCACUUCUUAAUUAACCAGUAGUGAAUCAGAGGUACAGUGGUCGUACCGCGAAAGAACUUCCUUUACAGUGGGCUGCUUACCAGACAAAACCACUAAAAACAGGUUGUGUACUCUAUCUUUAUCUUACCUACAAGAGUGUCCGUUUCCGUACCGUGAGUCAGCUAUGCCAUAUUCCCUUAUUUAGUUACUUCUUUUUUACACCACAAAUGAUCUUUUAUACGUCAUACCUACGUUGUAAAAGGGAAACUCUUAAAUCAUCUCAUCUAAUAAUAAAAGAACCAUUGUUUUAUAAUCCAACAAAACAGAGCCACCAGCGACUACACCUUUUUGACUUAAUGAUGUGACGGGUUGCUGUUCCUUCACCACCUUAUACCCGCCUCCGUUAAGGUAGCAGAUCUAAACGGUUCCUAGUGAACUAGUUCAUGUACUACUUAAACACUGUGCAAAACCCCAUUUUCAUAACCCGUCUGCUACCUUAAACACUGUUCAAUUUUUUUCGUCUUAGGUAAAAUCACCUGGCCCUACUGUAGCCGUUUGACUACCCCGGAUAGUUCAUUAUCUUGAGUAAGGGGAUUUUUUCUUCCUUUUGUGAACCGUAGUUGACCGCCUAGUGUGCACUCGUAGGCGGCCGAGUAAGCAUGCUGUGCACAGGACGGGUUCGCCAAGAAAAAGAAAGAAAGAAAGCUAGUUGC